AAUGUUGGAUUCGAGGUCUGAGCAUCUACAGUUGGCUAGUGGUGAACUCCCGACCAAAAGCUCACCCAGCUACCUCAUUCCUAGGUUUGCACUGUGUGGGCAGUGCAGUGGGUAUCAUGCUCCCUAUGUCCUGUUAGCCAUAAGCAACCAUGACUACAUCAUGGUGGCUGCAGCAAGACACCCACUAAUUUUCUCUUCUCCAGUAUUCGCACUUGUAAUCCUUUCUUUCUUCCUUUGGAAGUCAAAUUUACCCACCAGCCGAUCUUCGUUUACAUCCUGAGGGGGAGGCAGGCACCGGCGAAUGAAUCCAGAGCCUCAUACAUUCCAGGAAGGCAUUGAGCCCUGAACUAUGACCCCAGCCCUCUUUUUAUAUCCAGUUAUUUAUUUAAACAUUUUUUACAUUUGUUUAUUCUGUGUGCACACAUGUAUGUCACGGUACGUGCCAGAACGCCAGAAGAUACCCUCUAGGAGUUGGCUCUUUCUUUCUACAUGUGGGUUUGGGGAUUGAGCUCAGGUGGUCAGGCCUGCAGGCAAGCCUCUUUACCCACUGAACCAUCCUGCCAGCCUCUUGACAUUUUAUAUUGAGACCAAGUCAUGCUAAAUUACCCAGGCUGGCCUCUGUAGCGGGAGUGGGCCUGACUCAGCCUCGGAUAUGGUUGAGAUGCAGACCUUGGCACAGACCCCUAUCAUUGACUGCCUAUCAUUUACUUCUUCAUUUCUGUCUGCUUCCUCAUUAACCCUCCUGGUCAUUGAUGGUCCAGUUCAGUGUGCUUCACUUCUCACUGUUACUGGAUUCCUUCUACCACCCCUCCCACCCCUGCCCCACAACACUUCCCUCUAUAUAUCUUGUCAUUAUUCCAUUUUUCACUUCACUUCUGGGACCCUCUUUUUUUUCCCCCUUUCUUAGAUACAGGUGCCCCAGAACGGGCCUGCGACCUCCUAUUCUCAGUCACACACAGCUUGCUCUGUGCAAUGUCAGGCAGCCCCAGGUAUCUGGCUUCCCGCUUUCCUCUCCGCGUGGCCUUUGGCUGUGUGGGCUCGAUGCUUCUUUUCUUGGUUGAUUUCCUCAGUGGCUUUCCCAAGAGCUAGACUGUUCUCUUCAUCCUCAGAUGUGGCUGGCCCAUGAUGCAUCCUCGGUACCACUUUAAUUGAGCCACCACGGGGAGUGCGGAGGUGUUGGUUUUGAUGGCUUCUGCGACAUCCUUCAGAGGACUGCUCCUUCCUAUUUGCCUUUCAAGGUUACUCAUGAGUCAGGAGUUGCUUCCCACUUCUCUUGUAAGUCUCCUAUUUUCUCGCUCCAUUCUCCUUAACUCUUUCAUGUCUCUUCUUUUUUAUACUAGGAUGUUAACCUCUACCACUUCAAGAGGGGACAGUCACCCCCUACUCACUUCAUUUGCUGGAUCCUUUCACUUUCAAGACUCCGUCCCUGCAAGAAGCAUCUGCUCCCCCUCCAAACCUCCCCCUGGAUUAUGUAUGUCCACAAGCCCCAUCUGUACUACCCUGCCCUGUAGCUUUCCCCC
rnacentral:lncRNA from 1 species